UCUUCUAUAGGUUAAGUGAAACUGUUAGCUUGUGGUGCUAAAGAUUGUUGAGAUAUGUGUAGGGGAA
rnacentral:tRNA from 1 species